GCGGCCUAUCAGCUUGUUGGUGAGGUAAUGGCUCACCAAGGCAACGACGGUAGCCGGCCUGAGAGGGCGACCGGCCACACUGGGACUGAGACACGGCCCAGACUCCUACGGGAGGCAGCAGUGGGGAAUAUUGGGCAAUGGACGCAAGUCUGACCCAGCGACGCCGCGUGCGGGAUGAAGGCCUUCGGGUUGUAAACCGCUUUCAGCAGGGAAGAAGCGAAAGUGACGGUACCUGCAAAAGAAGCACCGGCUAACUAUGUGCCAGCAGCCGCGGUAAUACAUAGGGUGCAAGCGUUGUCCGGAAUUAUUGGGCGUAAAGAGCUCGUAGGUGGUUCGUCACGUCGGAUGUGAAAAUCUGGGGCUCAACCCCAGACCUGCAUUCGAUACGAGCGAGCUAGAGUUUGGUAGGGGAGACUGGAAUUCCU
rnacentral:rRNA from 1 species